rnacentral:lncRNA from 1 species
AUGACCUGGACAGGAAGCAGGUUUUUAUUUUAUGCCCUGAUGCUGACAAAAUUUUGUGAUUACUUUUUAUACUGUCCCAGAACAUAUAGAACCAGGACAUUGUGUCCAGGUAGUUAUCUGACACGUGUCCUUCAGGUAGUUCUAUUCUGUUUCCAACAGUUCAAAAGUCCACCCCCGCCCCCCACUCCUGGAGUUGGGAGCACUCCUUCCAACACACACACACACACACACACACACACUUGGGACAGGAAGGAUAUACACAGCUUAGGUGCCCCUUCCUCAGGGGCUUCAUCCUCCACUGCCCCUCCUGGGUUGGAGGCUCCUGUGUCAUCCCUGCCUGGACAGGUCUUCCUGCAGGCCCAGCCUCAGGGAGCCCCAUUCUGAGGGGACACAGCCCUGCCUUCAGGGAGCCCCAGUCUGAGGGGACACAGCCCAGCCUCAGGGAGCCCCAUUCUGAGGGGAGACACAGUCCUGCUUCAGGGAGCCCAGUCUGAGGGGAGACACAGCCCUACCCUCCUUUAGUUCAGGGUCAGAGAUGGGAGAGGGAAGUUCUGUCUUGGUAUUAAACCGAGAAACCAAUGUAAUGGCACCCUGUCAGUACCACAGUGAGGGGAUUCAUCACGACCUCCACCUUGUGACUUUCUGUGUGACUUUGUGAAGAACUAGCAACUUGAGCACCCGUCUGCAUGCUAUAAAAACCCAGGAGUGAUGAGCCUGCAGGUCCAGAGGGCUGUCACCAGUGGACAGUUUUGUCUUGGUCACACCCUCAAGGUCAGCUGUCCCCCAUGGGCCUCCUGCUCUUCUGAGACAGACCCCCUUCUCAUCUUGAAAACCACUCAGCCCAUGGGUUCAAGAGCUUGUUCAACUCCUUCUUUGGUAUCCACGGAACUUAUGUAACUCACAGCUUCCAAUUAACAAUUAGAGCUGGUGAGCAAGAGCACAGAAGGAGACAAGGCUACGUGCAGCUGGCCCCUCUUCAGCUGUGGGGUUUAGAUUUCCCUGAUUUAUUUUCCACAAUUAGCGGCUGGCCUUCUCCCAGUGACUCUCUCAGGGUUUUUGUUGGGGCAGCCGCUGGCCAGGCACAGGGACCGGCAGAGUGGACUGCGGGCACUGCUGCCCCUGUUGGGAUCACCGGAAAGGUCAGGCCUCUUGGUNNNNNNNNNNNNNNNNNNNNNNNNNNNNNNNNNNNNNNNNNNNNNNNNNNNNNNNNNNNNNNNNNNNNNNNNNNNNNNNNNNNNNNNNNNNNNNNNNNNGCCCCUGUUGGGAUCACCGGAAAGGUCAGGCCUCUUGGUGAUUGGACUGCCAGGCAUUAAUCAUCGUGCUCUUCACUGGAGGGAGGGGGCCAGGCCACACACAGGCUGAGGAGGAAAGGCCCAGGAAGGCUGACGCCUUUGCCAGCUUUUGCCACGCUCCUCACUUUCCGGCCUCAUUCUGACUCCUGAGCCUCGAUGUCCUCAUCUGUUAAAUGGGUGUGAACAGUGGGGCUCAGUGGUCCCUAGAGUCCGUUACAUUUGGACUUCGCUGUUUUUGCCUGCUUCCCUCCUUACCCUGCUCUGCGACCUCCCCACACCCUGUCAGUACCGCAGUGGGGGGAUUCAUCACGACCUCCACCAGAGGCCAGAGAGAUCAGCAAACAUGCCACCGGUCAGUCUCAUGAUACUGGGUGAAGGGCUACAGCCCAUCUCUUUUAAUCCUGGUCCAGCUCUGUGACCCCCAAGGACAGAGUCAACCUAUAGACCAAUGGGACUUUUGGGCCACAAUCCCUGAAACUCCUCUGAGUCGGCCUGUGGGCCUCACACUAGAGGGGCCCCCAGCACGGGGAGGUGAGCAUGUCCAGGAGGCUUGAGCUUGGCAGCCAUCACACUUUUACUAAGUACCUGCUCUGAGCCAGGUCCUGGGUUGGAGAGGCGGUUGACAGAGACGAGCGGGCAGAUGUGGCUCUCCUCUCAUGGUGCUGAGAGGCCUGGGCCCUGACGUCGAUCUGCCAGGUUUAAACCCUGGUCUGAUGCUCACUUGGGCGAGGCACUUAGCACCUUACGCCUUGAUUUCUCCCUCUGUAAAAUGGGGGUGCUGACAGUACCACACCCAUGAGCUGCGGUGAGGAGUAAAUGAGUGAAUUUAGAGUGUUUACCACUCAGGGUGCAGUCAUUACAGCUGUCAUGUCAUGAGCACCAGCUCUGCGCCAGGAACUGUCUGUGGCAUUUGGUGUAAACCAGAGCCCUUCUAGGGAGGGAGAAAGAUCACUUCCGGCUUCGCUGAGGAAGAGUCUUCAUGAGAGAGUUGGUGUCACAGUUUGGUCUAGAAGGAUGGAGCUAGGGACUUCCUUGGUGUCUGAUGGCUAAGACUCCAAGCUCCCAAUGCAGGGGCCCUGGGUUUGAUCCCUGGUCAGAGAACUAGAUCCCACAUGCUACAACU